rnacentral:rRNA from 1 species
ACGACUCUCGGCAACGGAUAUCUCGGCUCUCGCAUCGAUGAAGAACGUAGCGAAGUGCGAUACCUGGUGUGAAUUGCAGAAUCCCGCGAACCAUCGAGUCUUUGAACGCAAGUUGCGCCCGAGGCCACUCGGCCGAGGGCACGCCUGCCUGGGCGUCACGC